CUUUAUUGAGGUGGGAAACUUGCAAAGUUCAGUAGGAGCCAGUGACUAGAACUGGUGGCAAAAAUUGCGCUUGGGGAACUUGGUCUGUAACUUUGCUCAGCUACAUGUUACCUGACAUUCUAGAGUAACUCUUGCUCUUUACCUUCUCUCUUCUUUCCCUAGGAUUAUCAUUGGCAGUGGCGCUCAUUCCUUACCAGCGGCUUUACUGCAGUUUAUUUCUUAGUAUAUGCAAUACACUAUUUCUUUUCGAAACUGCAGAUCACCGGAACAGCGAGUACAAUUCUGUAUUUUGGUUAUACCAUGAUAAUGGUUUUGAUCUUCUUUCUUUUUACAGGAACAAUUGGCUUCUUUGCAUGCUUUUGGUUUGUUACUAAAAUAUACAGUGUGGUGAAGGUUGACUGAAGAAGCCCAGAACAUCCAGUUAAAACAGAAAUAAAUUAAAUUCUUCAUCAACAAAGACCUGUUUUUGUGACUACCUUGAGUUUUAUCAGACUUUUGGCCUAGUGAUCCUUCAGAAACAACAUUCUUCUAAAUACACCUCUUCCCAUACACCUGUUCCCACAAAAUGUGUUUUCGACACUAAAGCAUUUGUAUUGUGAUUUGAUUAAGUAUAUAUUCAGUUGUUCUCAAUGAAGAGCAAAUUUAAAUAUUAUGUGCAUUUGUAAAUACAAUAGGUAUAAAGUUUUCAAUACUUCUAAUGGCAGAAUAGAGAGGCCAUAAUACUGAUGAAAUACACGACAGUUAAUUGUAAAUAGGAUUUUCUAGGCUCGGUAGGUGGAAAGAAUUAUUUUUCUUUGAAGGAAAUAACUUUUUAUCAUGGUAAUUUUGAAGGAUGAUUCCUAUGAUGUGCUCAUUGGGGGAGUGUGGCUUUAAAAAAUCUUGUACUGAUUGUAACUGUUCAUACCUUCUUUCUUUUCUGUGUUGACUUCAUUAUUCCCAUGGUGUUGGCCUUUUAAACUAUGUGCCUCUGAGUCUUUCAAUUUAUAAAGUUAUUAUCUUAAUAAAUACUGUAAAAACA